CUGUCAAAAGCGAAGCCUUUUCUGCUUGUCCUUCCCAUGAUUCCUAUCAUUAUUUGGAAGAUUGAUAUUCUAUACUAGGGGUGCCCAUUGAGCGGCAGAUUUUAUUUCACUGUGGAGUAUGGCAUCAUAUACAAUGUCCGUGCCAUUCAAGACAUUGUGUUUGGAAGAGAAAUUAGACUCUUAAAAGCACGUCAGAUAGUAAGAGACAGCAUUCAGCACUUUCUGAAUGCAACCAACUUGAGUGGUGGCAGUCCAUCUUUUUUUUUUUUUUAUUAAAAACAUCUCUGUCUGUAACUACAAUUGCAUUUUGUCCUUGCACAAACUAAACGAUUGGACAACUAAUUGGGCAAAGAAAGUAAAGUGUGAAAUCUUUGCAUGGCUGAGAGCUUUGAAAGGGACCAAACAAGAGACUCUUUGGCGGAUGUUAUUGAUUGGAAGGCAGAGGCAAGAUCAAUGAAAAGAAACAGCCUGAGACAAAGAGUGGCAUUUAAGCGUGGAAAAAGCUGACAUUUUUUCCAUCACUGUCAGAGGCAUGGCCAUAAAGCAGUGGCAAAUAUUAAAACAUUUCUCAUCUGCGUGGGAGUAUUGGCAGCAGAAAUUGUUUUCUCUGCGGUGUGAUACUCGGGUUGAACUCCCGGUAGAAUCCCUCGGGGGUGCAGAUUGGUGCCGGUGACAUAUUGGCACCGGCGUUUACACACAGCUGCCACUCACUCUCCCACAGCCUAGGAGCAGGGCUGGAGAGGGCAGAUAGCAGGCGAAGAGGAUGGCGCUUGGACUGUCGUCAAGGCCCAUCAGUGAUGUGGAUAGUCACAUAAGAUCUGAGGACAUAUUGAAGUCACCAGGGAGGACAUUCCAUCUGGGUGCCACCUACGCCACGCGUAGCCGUCGAGGAGAAGACAGAAUGAUGUACUGAAGACACGAGCCGGAGCGACUGCGGCACAUUUUGCGAGCGCUGCCAUACAACGCGAGGCUUGUCUCGUCACAUUACGCUGACACCCUGCAUCAAAAUCCCUGUCUCGCUGAAGCAGAGAAGCACAUGUCCUGAGUUUCCCUUCCUUCUUGGGACGGCGCAGACAAGAUGUCCUCGUCAAGGACAAUGAUGACAGUGUGGAGGAAAAUAAUGAGGUCUUGUGAGACAGGCAAACUUUUCUAACAUACAUUUUAGGGGAGAAAUAACCUUUGAUGAUUAAAUAUCUUUGCGCCUCAAGAUCAAAGAUGAAUUUGUUCAUAUUUUUGUAGGGGGUUGUGUGAUUAGUAUGGUUUAACUUUCAGAUGACAGUUGACCUUUGUUUAAAAAGCGGCAAAUGUCAAAACAGUAAAUGAUAAUAACCACAGGAGGCUCAUGCCACAAACUAUGCUGAUUUACUCAUUACAAUAAAUCUAACAGAUCACGGAAUUAUCUUUAUAUGUACCAAAGCAAGAAAAAACAAAUUCCUCGCGGUUGAGCAGUCCAGAGUUUAAACCUCGGCUCAGGCCAAUCCAACAAGUUUGGUUAAUUUGUCAUAGGUGUGUGUGAAUAUGAAUGGCUGUUUGUAUUUAUGACAUGCCCUGCGAGUGACUAGCAACCAGACCCCAUCUUGUGCCCCAAAUCAGAUGGGAUAGGCUUCAUUUCAGCUAGACCCCUGCAGAGGACAAGUGACAUCGAAAUAGAACUUGAAGAUUGUGGGUGACAGUCCUUGCUGGAUGCUGCCUUUAAUAAUUCUGCAUCAUUUUGCGCAUUUGCUGUUGAAUCGGUUUUAUAAUGAGAGAGUGUGUUUCAGACCAGCUCGAGGAUUUUUUUCCUUUUCCAGAGCUAAACGAGGGUAUGACCGAUACACAGGGUGGCUGCGAAUAUAAUUCCUAAAUAUAUUUUGGAAUGUUUGGAAUGAAUCAAUUUGCACAUUUUCUGUUGAAUCGGUAUUACAAUGCCUCCAUGUACAAGUACUUAAUGUGUUUCAGACAAGCUCCAGGAUUCUUUUUCUUUUCCAGAGCUAGAUGAGGGUAUGACCGAUACACAGGGUGGCUGCGAAAUUAAUUCCUAAAUAUAUUUUGGAAUGUCAAAUCAAAUGCCAGAGGGCCUUAACUAGGACUAGACAGUUUCUAUAGCUGCCCAUGGCGACAUCCCUGUUAAAACCUAAAAAAAAUAAAAUAGAUACAUUUCCAAAUGCCAAAACAUGAACAGGAUUUUUUUUUGUUUGUUUCAUGGACGAGUGCAAGUAAUUUUUGGCAUGCUUAUCGCUGUUGAUUUUAAAAUAAACUACACUUCACAUUGA